UACCUUUUCCUAAUGUUAAAAAGCAUGCCU
rnacentral:piRNA from 1 species